GGCUCGGGGCUCGGGUUCUCCGGUCCCCGCCACUUCUGCGGGCUCCGGCUCCGGGCGCCGCGAGGCCCGAGGGAGCCCCCCGCGCUGGCGGCAGGCGCGCUGUGCCCCUCGUGCAUCCCAGGCUCCCGCUCUGUCUCCCGCUGCCCCCGACAUCCCUCCUGUCCCGGGAGGGCGGGGGGAGGCAGAGCUCCUCUCCUGUGCCGCCCGCUCCCAAUCCAGGACAGGCCGCGCUCCCGCCGGCUCCUCCGUUGCCGUUUCGGGAGAAGUGAUGGGACAGGCUCGGCGUUGCAGGGUCCUGAAAAAAAACGGGCACUUGCCAAACUGCGGACCAGAUGUGACUGAGGAGACUCACUGCAGUAUCUCAUAACUGGAAGUCGGAGGGACAAGGGUGCUUCUGAACAGCAGAGCUGGGGAGAAUGGAAGAAACUCUGCCUUUCUACAGGCAUAAAACCCAGUGGCUGUCUCUUGGCCAGUGUUCCUGAUUUUCCAGUAAGCUGUGUGCUGCACGGAGGUGUAGAACCCUAAUGGCUUGUUGUAUGCCAUUAAAAGAGCAAGUCAGACUUCUGUGGGCUUUCAAAACCAAAUGAAUGAUGGUCUUGACCAGCACUGCGGUGUUGCUAAUGACCUCAUUGCUGACCACAGCUGCUGGCAGUCAGGCUCCCAUUGCCGCUGCAUUGCUGAUAGAAACACCAAUUUUCUUUGAAUCUCAGAGGCAGAUGUGCAGAUGGGAGAGAAGCCGUGGUGCUGUGAGCAGAGUCCCAAGUUUUUAUCAGUGUUUUUGCAGAGUGGAACUGGAAGUUGCUGACACACUCCAGGCAAUAACAUUGAGCACAGGGAAAAGUGCCUGCAUCAGUGGCACAGGGAGAGCAGGUUGUGGCACAUGAGUAAUGUGAACAGGAGUACGUUGCCAGGGCAACAGAGUGUAAGCAGGAGCACAGCACCUUGCAGAUCACAAAGGCAAAGCUGCAGAAAGAAAUUUCAGCGAGUUUCUCUCUCCCUUUUGCAAUGUAAUGACGACUUAUUUUUCAUGCACUGAUUUAAUAAUCUUAUUGAAAGAUCCUUUCCCUGUUUCUCUUAUUCUUGUCUGUCUGGGCGCGGACAAUGGUAAAAACCUGGAAUUGUCAAGCCCACUGGGCUCAGCAAACUAACAGAUGUAAUAUGUUUAGCAUUUUUAUGUAAUUACUUUUUAUUGCUAUUUUACCCCUACUUCUAUUCCUCCCCGGUUAGAUGCUGCUUCCCUUCCAUUCCAGCCCAAUCAGGGGAUGGAGAGGGGCUGGGGGAGAGUUGGUAAUUGACGGCAUUAAUCGGGAAUUAUUAGUGGGACGUGUUUUCAGGGGUGGGGGUUGGGUGCAGAAAGAGACCUUUUAGGAAGGGUGAAUUGAAUUAUGGGCGAUGCAAUAAUGAAGCCUCUGGGCUGUGAGCUGCAGAGGACACUCAUCCUCACAGAGCUCUGAGUGUUAUUUAUCAUGGGCUCUGCUCUGUGGGUGAAAAACAGUGCGUUGCCCUACUGACAUCCUCUGGGUGGGGGAGGUCUCAACUAGCUGGGCUGAAAAUGAAAAAAAAGCUGAUUUCGGAUGAUUAAAAAUGGAGAUCUUCGAUGUUGGUUACACAGGGAGCAGGAACGCUGCUACCAAACCCUCGGCAGGGCGCAGUUUGUGACCAGUCUGUCUCUUGUAAACAUUUUGCUUGUUCUUUCCCAAGGGCCAGGGCUGGGGAAGGAAGCGUGGGAAAAGCAAUCUUUGCAGGCUGCAGAACUGAAGGUGGGGGAAGGCUCUGUGAGAUGAAGUACAAACCCCGGGUUGUCUCACUGCGGCUGAAAAAUUCCAAGAAGUUGGGAACAAAGGCUGUCUGUCACCUGAGCUCAGCAGUGCUGGGGCACUGCGUGUGGCAGGUCUCCGGCUGGCACCAGGAAGCAGCAGGAUGUGUGGGUUUGGAGGGCUGACAGGGCAAGGCUGAGGGAAAGGGCACUGGGAUAGGGGUUUGCAGCCUCAGCUGAGAAUAUCACAGUUUUGUGGUGUGAAUUCAUGCUCAUUGAUGUUGCUGACAUGGAACCUUUGCUUUAGGAUGCCAGUUCUUUAAAGGACAGCACAUAGAUUUACAUGUUCUGCAUUUUGCAAAAUAGUUACAUAAAAUAAUACAUAAUAAUAUAUAUAAAAUAAUAUAUUUUAUAUAUGUAACUAAUAUAUAAAAGCCAAGCAGCAUUCUCCCUACAGGAUUACCUUGUGCCAAACAUUACUGGUUUUCUCUGAGUUAGCAUUUCACAAGUCACUGUGAAUGUGAGAUGUUCCCUGAACCAGGGUUUCAUGGAACAACAAAAACUGCUUUGAGGCACAUUGCAGAAAUGGCUGGAAGCUGGAUUCAGGAGUGGGAGGUGGUUCUGCAGAGAGCGACAGGGACCAAACCCUUGGACCAGGUGUGGAGACAGUUGCCUGCAAGAGAGGAGAAAAUUCUGCUUGGAGACCUGGGCGUGAGGCCCAUAACUCAUGGAUUUCCUGCGUCUCCAGAUAAGCAUUUACACCUGAGACAUCAGAGUCCAGGGAGUGAAGAGCAGCCUGGCUGCAGGGACAAGGGCAUGUGGAUGUGGCUCUGUUCAGAGUGAGCAGAAAAGCCAGGAAUGAAGAAGCAGCCUGUUGCUUUGGCAGUGUUUGAGGAAAGAUCUCCCUUUCCCAUGGCUUCAGAGAGUUGGAGACAAGGUCACCCUGGUCUGAGGAAAGCUUCUGGAAAUCCCAAAUCAGACUGACCCUGCAAGAUCUGUCCAUCAUUCAAAUUUAGAUGAAAUCACUUUCCAUGUUGCUUUCACUGACAUUUAGGAUUUUUUUUUGUUUGUUAUUGGCUGGUUUCUGUGAAAUCCAACAGCUCUGCUCCUCUAAGCUCUAGCCAAGAAAAUCUCCACCGUUUUUGUCCUCUGUGCAGAAUCUAAUUUCAUAGAAACUGAACAUAAAAUAUGUAGAUACAGAAUCUCCUUAAAGCAGUCUUCUAUGAAGUCUGCAGGAAGGCAGCUGACUGCAACCAGACUGGGCCACAGAAAGAACUCUGGGACAAGGUGCACUUGCCAACUGCCAGGCAGUGGACAAUAUUUCUAUUUUUUGUUGGCUUAGGAGACUGCAUUUUUGGCUCCUUAAAGCAAUUCUGGACAAGAAACUAUUUACUGGAUCUUCCUGUACAAUUUUUAAUUUUUUUUUCUGUUUUAAUCAUAAUAAAUUUUAAAAUGUAGAAAGUCAAAAGGAUUAUUAUCUGUUCUUUGUAAGACUCUAUGGGGAAGCCCAAAGUUGAAGCAAGGUGGCAGAACCUGUACUUGCUUCAGGGGGAAGCAGGGUUAUUGCCAUGACAAUAUAGAAAGGUUUACCUUUGUACCCA